rnacentral:rRNA from 1 species
CCUGGUGUCAGCCGCCGCGGUAAUACCAGCUCUCCGAGUGGUGUGGAUGUUUAUUGGGCCUAAAGCAUCCGUAGCUGGCCAAGUUAGUCCCCUGUUAAAUCCACCGAAUUAAUCGUUGGAGUGCGGGGGAUACUGCUCGGCUAGGGGACGAGAGAGGCCGACGGUAUUUUCGGGGUAGGGGUGAAAUCCUAUAAUCCCGGGAAGACCACCAGUGGCGAAGGCUGUCGGCUAGAACGCGCCCGACGGUGAGGGAUGAAAGCUGGGGGAGCGAACCGGAUUAGAUACCCGGGUAGUCCCAGCUGUAAACGAUGCAGGCUAGGUGUUUGGGCGGCCACGGGCCGCUCUAGUGCCGCAGGGAAGCUGUUAA